CAGGCGUGUGGAGAUUGUAGAGAGGACCCACAAGGCGGCAGCUCUGGUACCAUAUCCCGUGUACACGUAUAGUGACUCAGAGGAUGAGCAGCACACCAAAAAAAGGUUUCCCCAGGCACCUCGAGUGAAAAUACCAGCCCUCAACGCUUCGCAGUCUUCCCCCCAGCCCACUGACAGCAGACAUCAUAAUGCCUCUCCCAGCUUCCGGCACCAUUCGCCACUCCGGGAGAACAUUCCGAACGACACACCUUUACAAUCUCCACAGCAUGCAGAGGCUGAUGUCGAGGCCUUCCCUAUAGAUGAUUCCAGAGACUCUGUGAGGCCACUAUUACAAGAUGCGACCGCACAAAAGAUUUUAACAAUGCUGUCAGACCUGACAAGAUCUGUCAACGAACUGCGUGAG
ensembl:lncRNA